CAAUUGUCUUUUAAUUAAAGUCUGGAAUGAAAGGAAAAAUGAGGUUUAUCUGUCUUUUUAAUAAAAUUUUUAAUUUAAUUAUUUAGUGAAAAUACUAAUAAAAAGAAAAAAGACGAGAAGACCCUAAGAGUUUUAAAAUAAAAAAAAUUUUUUUGUUGGGGCGACAAAUAGUCAGGAAAAACACUAUUUUUUAUUUAUAAAACAUUUAAAUAAAAGAAAAAAUUACCUUAGGGAUAACAGCAUUAUAAAAAAUUUUGUUUG
rnacentral:rRNA from 1 species